GGGGAAUAUUGGGCAAUGGACGCAAGUCUGACCCAGCAACGCCGCGUGAAGGAAGAAGGCUUUCGGGUUGUAAACUUCUUUUAAGGGGGAAGAGUAGAAGACGGUACCCCUUGAAUAAGCCACGGCUAACUACGUGCCAGCAGCCGCGGUAAUACGUAGGUGGCAAGCGUUGUCCGGAUUUACUGGGUUUAAAGGGUGCGCAGGCGGAUUGAUAAGUCAGGGGUGAAAUCCCACAGCUCAACUGUGGAACUGCCUUUGAUACUGUUAGUCUUGAGUAUAGUUGAAGUGGGCGGAAUGUGUCAUGUAGCGGUGAAAUGCUUAGAUAUGACACAGAACACCGAUCGCGAAGGCAGCUCGCUAAGCUAUAACUGACGCUCAUGCACGAAAGCGUGGGGAUCAAACA
rnacentral:rRNA from 1 species